GGGGGUGACUGGUUUCGACUUCGUUCGUGGAGACAGGGGAAGCGAGCCGAGGAAGCCGACGUCGUCUCGUGAAUCGGUCGUCGGAACUUUAUAAGCGCCAAGCCUAGUGCUCAGCGCUUCGCUCUCGCCGCCUGAGUGGUGUAGAGCGAGCUGUCGGUCUGGGAUCGCCUUCGGCCCAGUUGCCGGCAUCAUUGAGAAGGCUGGCCAACACGCCCCGGUCGCGGGGGCGUCGCGGUGAGAUCAAUCUGCGACUGGGCCCGUCACACCAACUUGCUCGCGUGAGCGGUGGGGCCGAGUAGAGACAUAGCGAGCUGCGCUCGGAGAAGCCCUGACGAAGCAACGAAGGACCCGGGUUCGAUUCCCGGCACCUCCACC
rnacentral:tmRNA from 1 species